UGAGUUGUCCAGAAGGCACACAGCCAGGUGCCCCCUUUCCACCACCCAGAGGUCUUCCUAAGCAUGGCACCUGCCCCCCAUUCCAUUCAAAUCCUCUGCAGUGUUAGAGAGAAACAGCUGGGCUGGAGGCAGCCCGUCCAUCCUGCUAGGGACCCCAGGGGCAGGUGGCUGGGAGAGCAGGGAGCCCUCGGAGAAAAAGCCCCCGGAUAAGACAUCAAAAGUGCUUUACCAACAGAUCUGGGCCCUCACAGAAAAGCUGUCCUGGAUCUCGUACCUUGGGUGGGGGUUGUGUCUGGCUACCGAAAAGUUGGUUCUUUCACCCACGAGGGUGAAUGCGAACCCCUGGACACCUACCUGCUCCCUCAAAGGGAAAAGUGGCCCAGGACGGUUCAAGCUUUUGCGAUUGCUUAGGGAAGGGGUGGAAUUCUCCUCUGCAGGCUGGUCUCAGAGGAGCCAGGGCUCUCUCCUUCCCUCCCUUCCUCCCUCCCAACCCAGCAGCCAGGAGCAGAGGCCACUGGUCCCUCUCCCUCUAGCACUGAGGCCCAGGAGGCCGCCCUGGCCUGUCUGUCCAGACAUGAGCUGCUGGCACCGCUCUCAGCAUUGCAGUUGGGCUGUAAGGGGGGCCACUUGAGAUGAAGGACAUGCUCGUAAACUGCAAGGCACUGCGCAGCGGCCGAGAUCCUCAGGACAGGCUCAGGCAGUGCCGGCACCAAAGCUGGAGGAGCUGGGGCCUCAGCCUCUCUGACCUUUCCCACAAGGCAGCUCAGAGAGAGACUCCAGCAACGCACAUCACCGCGAGACAGAGGCGGCGGUGGCGGCGGCGGGCUCCAGAGUAGGCGUGCCCAUGGAGAGGACGGGGCUCCCUCUGCAGACAGGACUGAGUUCCUGGCCGUGCCCCCUGGAGCUUGUCUUGGCACCCACCGUAGUCACCUACAGCCUGGAGGUCACUUCCCCAGCCCAGCGUGCUUCCACACAGCAGAGAGGCAGAAACCUCUGGUAGAAAGCAGUGCCUCCCCUAGGCCAGUGGCAGUAAACAUGCCCACAUACCACAGGCAAAAUAUAUUAUUGCAAUAUUAUAAACACUAUGUACAUGAUAGCCGGCAUGCCUUCCGUGUCACCUUCUAAGUACAUGGCAGCUGAACGUCUUCCUGCACAAGGCCCGAUGGCCAUGUGCAGGGGACCCCUGGAGGUAUCCAGCAAGAUGACCUCCCCCGAUCAAACUGAAGGGUUGACCAGCCAGGGGACCCCCACCUCUUACCCCACCUCUGACCACUGCACCCAGAAGCAGCUCCUUUGGUCCAGCCACUCGGGAGAAGUGGAGAGGUGAGACAGGUGGGACCAGACCUGCUCAGGCUCUUCGAGAUGAAUGGGUUGGCGGGGUGGCUCUUGAUGGCGUCACCUGGAGCCAGCAGUGACCUGCAGAGUCCCGGCGGGCCUGGUCCUGGGCUCCAG